CUGAAUAUACUGUAGUUUGGUGUGCGCAUUUGCGUGCUUAAAAGGGAAGCAUGGUGUAAAUCCAUCACGGUCCCGCCACUGUAAAAGCCUGUAUUUCUCAUAGCCACUGUGCUCGCACGGGAAGGGAGAAAAUAUGUAAUGCUUGAGUCAGGAGACCUGCCAGCUAUGAAACGCUAUG
rnacentral:ncRNA from 2 species